rnacentral:tRNA from 1 species
AGCUCAGCUGGUUAGAGCGCCACGUUGACAUCGUGGAGGUCAUCAGUUCGACUCUGGUCAGCCCCA